GGGUUCGUGGUCCAGUUGGUUAAGACGCUGCCCUCACAUGGCAGAAAUCGCCGGUUCGAAUCCGGCCGAACCCA
rnacentral:tRNA from 1 species